UGUUUUAUAAAAGUUGGUGAAAUUAACGAUGCUAAAUGAAAAUGUGAAAAGUUAUAUAAAAAGUGUUUAAUAAGUGAAAAUUUGAAGUGCAAACCCAUUGCUGUCGCUGUAGCGUGUAGAAAGAAGCGAUUCGCAUGUAUAUAUGUAUAUAUGAGUGGAAGUAUAAAGGUGCGCUUGAUGUAAAAAAGCCGAAACGAUUUGCAUAAAAUGGCGCUAAGAGUUGCCGGUUUCUUAUUUUCAAUUUUAUUUUUUUUGGUGAAGAUUUUUGUGAUUGAAGUGUUAACAAAGUGCAAAAUAGUUCCUGUAGCUUCAAAGCGAGCAAUUAAAUGGUGAAAUAUAUUCUUGUAAUGCAAUGAUCGAAGAACGAAAAAAAACAAGUUAAUUCAUGCACACAUAUGCAUGCAUAAGUAUGUAUGUAUGUAUGAAAUGCACAUGCAUAUACAUAUGCAUAGAUGUAAAUAUAUAAGUAUGUGUGUAUGUAGACAUGCAUACACUUAUGCAUUUGCGAAUGAACAGAGGUAAGCAAAAAGCCUGGCCGAAGAACACGAAAGGUAAUGAGGAAUAAGAGGUAAGCGGAAGAAGCAGCUUAUGUGGUUCAGCCCUGGAGCGAUCCCUGAAGACAGGAAAGGCAAAAGGAAAGUCGAGAAUCAUUGCUAGGUCACAAGCCAUAAACUAUUAACCAAACUUUCUUGCUUCGUACAUAUCUCAAAAUCCUUUGGCUAAGCUAGAAGCUUCCAUAAAAUGGUCUGGAACUGAAGAUCGCCUGGACAACUUAUCUGGACCUUGGACUACAUUCAUCUUAUUACAGUAAUAUAUUUAUAACUAGCUAACUAACUAUAUCUUGACAGUUUCUCAACCGUUUCACUUAAUUACGUUUACAUUAAACGAGAUUUAUUUGCCAUUAAAAAUUAUUAUGAUAUUUGAAGUAUGGAAAAGUUUUGCGAAAAGCACGAUUUAUGCAACACCGCAAGUGCGGCGCAGUUAGCUAUGUAAAUGUUUUCGCAGCUGUUUAUGUAUUUACUUUUAAUGCCACUCGAAAUGGCGGCUGCCAGUGGCUCCUCCAAGGCGCAGCCGAGCUGCAAUUCCAUAGAAGCAUCAACAGGAGCAGCAGCAGCAGCCAACCGCACAACGCCAAGAAAAUGCUAACAAUUUUAAUUAAUGGAUAAAGUUCUGUGGAAUUCUGGUCGCCGCUCCACGCCCACAUGGCAGCAUAUUUUGCCAGUGGUCGCGCAGCUGGUUUUGGGGUUGUUGCAGCGCCACCAAAUUAUGUGUACUUUGUUUGUCUAAAUAUUUAUGCACUGCCAACCAGAUUCGUUGCCCACUCAAAAGCAUUUUUCUCCAGCUAUGCUCAAAGGAAAUCUGAGAAUUCUAGUUGUUUUUUAUUUGAAUUUACUUGAAUGUUAAAUAAGAA